rnacentral:rRNA from 1 species
GACGAACGCUGGCGGCGUGCUUAACACAUGCAAGUCGAACGGAAAGGCCUUUUCGGAGGUACUCGAGUGGCGAACGGGUGAGUAACACGUGGGUGAUCUGCCCUGCACUCUGGGAUAAGCCUGGGAAACUGGGUCUAAUACCGGAUAGGACCGCACUUUAGUGUGUGUGGUGGAAAGUUUUUUCGGUGUAGGAUGAGCCCGCGGCCUAUCAGCUUGUUGGUGAGGUAAUGGCCUACCAAGGCGGCGACGGGUAGCCGGACUGAGAGGUUGGUCGGCCACAUUGGGACUGAGAUACGGCCCAGACUCCUACGGGAGGCAGCAGUGGGGAAUAUUGCACAAUGGGCGCAAGCCUGAUGCAGCGACGCCGCGUGGGGGAUGACGGCCUUCGGGUUGUAAACUCCUUUCGCCAGGGACGAAGCGUUUUGUGACGGUACCUGUAGAAGAAGCACCGGCUAACUACGUG